CGCGCGCCCGCUGGCUGGACGGACACCCACCAACAGCACUCGCGGCGCAGGAGCCGGCUGAGGGGCUGGAAGCACACCCCGGGCCAGGCCGGCUUUGCGGCCUCACCUCGGCGCGGGUACCCAGACAGCUGGAGAGUCAGCUACCUCCCGCUUGCAGUGGGCCACCCUCACACCCUGUCAGAAAAGUUGUCUCGGUUCCCUGGCCUGAGGAGGCCUCUCCUCGGGUCUGCCUUAGUUACCUGGCGCCUUAGCCAGACCGGAAAGAGCCUUGGGGUGCGCGGAAGGGAGAAGUGAUGGAAAGUCCUGUAACGAACGAGGCCAGGUGGGUCCGCGCGUAGGCCCUGUGUCGGGGUGGCCUGAGGUGGCCUUGAGCUGGAAUGUAGGCUCUUCGGACUGUCUCGUGUUUCCCUGGGACUUACCUCAGGGCCUGCUACAAGUUUACGGGAACGACAGCUAGCAAGUAUUGAACAUUUAUUAUGUACCUGGCACUUCCAAAUGCUUUCUCUAUAGUAACUCCUUGAACCCUCCUAAGGACCUAUGAAGUAGGUAUAAAUACCACCCUUUUGCAGACCAGAACCUAAGCCCUAAUAAAAUUGGCCCAAUGCCCCGCCGGUAGUAAAUGGCAGAGUCGAGAUUUCAACCCACCACGCCACCAACUAUAGGACUAUAUUCUUCUGUCGGCUUGAAUCCCCUCCGUGGAAAAUCUAGCCAUGGAAGGUGGAAUUGAUUUUUGGAAACAGCCUAACGCACUGCUCUAGAAACAUGACAGUCCCAGCCUACAGAUAACAGUUGCUUGAAUGGAAAACUGGAAGAAAGACAAGAAGUGAUCUGUUCUGGAUGGGGAGGAUACUUGAAGGAUGAGGAACUCAGAAGUCAAAUCUGAAGUGCUGUUUAGAGGCCAUGACUUAUUCCCAAACUGAGGGUACCUCUCAUUCUGGAGCUAGGAAAAGAAAAGGACUUACCUUGUUCAUCCAGAAGGAUAUUCUCCAUCUGAAAAAUCACAGCACCAGAACCAGUUCAGCAGCAAAGAGGCGGAUGGAAGCCUCAGCAAAGCAGCCAACAGAGGACCAGAGGGAGUACAGAUCUGUACUGCAGUAGCUGCACACUGCAAAGUACCAGAAGUCUAGGCAAUAUUAGAGGGUUACUGUGUCUGGGCUCAAAGCAUUUUAUUUUAGGCUUCUUGCCCAAACUCAUGCCACCUAUUGUUCCCUCUCCCUUUGAGAGAUAAAAGUGCUCUGGGAAGGAAAACAGUGCAAAGGGAGAACAAGCCAAAGGGAUGGGUAAUCUCAGGUGGAGAGUACAACAGAAGGACUCUUGGGAAUGAGGAGAAACCAGUCACUCACUAAUGAAGAGGUGCCGUUUUCCCUGCCAGCUGUCCCCCAAACUGUGUACAAAAGGAUGCUUGAUCUGUCGCUAGGAAUGAAGAAAACAGGAAGUUACGGAGGAAAAAGGUCAUUGGGGAUCAAGGCGGCCAAGAAGUCAGGAUUUACCUAGUUGUGCAGAAAAGGAGCUGCUGCCCCACCUCUUGGUUCAGGUGAACUAAAUCCCAAAACCAGCAGGAUACUGAGAAACACCUAAGACAUGCUGGAGGGACAUACUAGACACGGAAGGACCUAGAAUUAACUGAUAACUACUUUUCCCAGGAUCUACUUUGGUUGAAGCAGAGGGAGGGGACAGAACCAGGAAGAGCAGGACAGUUGGACCGGAAAGGUGCUUUCUCCACCUGCGGUUUAGUUCUUCCUAGGAUCCAUUCCUGGGCUCUGUGCAUACCUGGAUGCUAACUUCCUCUUUGCAUUGCCUCAGGAUGUCUCUCUGUAGGACCUUUACCUUGGGCACCACCUAUAAAAGGAGAGGAGUGAUGACUCCUAUAGGUUAUGCCCACCAUACCUUUCUGAAAUCAAGAUUGGAGGCAGGGACUAGAGAAUGAUGUGGAAGAGUACCUGGAUCCCUACCUUCACUGCAAAUACUGCUUUCUGGCCACAAUCUAGCACUUUGAGGACUGUUCCAAAGGAGCCUUUAGCCACAAGGCCUAAAAUCUGUAGAGAAAUGGAGUAGGGCUGUUGAAACUCUAGACACUUCUAGAUAUCUCCCCAAGACUGAUACCCCUUCCAGGGACUGACCUACCUUCAGCUGGUGAUGCCCCCUCAGGGGCCUAAUGGGAAACUCCGGCAGAAAAAGGUUGACGAACUGAGGCACUGGCCACUCAGACAGAGGCUUCUCUAUUAGCAAUGGGGCCAGCUCCGGGGGUUCCUGGUGUAGGCACUGAUGUCUCCGUAGUCCCCACAACUCUUCCAGACCUGACCUGGUAGUCCCCACACCUGACCAGAGGCUCUUCCAGCCUCGGACCCAGGCACCCUGGAUGUUGCCACCCUGCUAAGAACCAAGGGAGCCACUCUAAACCUCUACCCUUGAGGCAUUACAAGUUCUGCCCAUCUUAGAAGGUAUACCCUCAAAUCCCAAUCUUAGAGAUAUGUUUUUGAGCACCAGGCAAAUUUACCAUUGCUCUUGCUUUAGGCCAAGGCCUAGAUUUCCUGGAUAUGAUUCAAAUCCUGUAGAAAAGCAGUAUUUGGACACUUUCCCUUUGAGGCAUCAGAAAUUCAGCCUGUGCCUCUUACUAUGGGGUUGGGAUAUUUUCACAGCAUAGCCUCCUGUUCCACCUCCACUAUGGGCAUCAUUAACAUUCUCCGCACCAGUCAGUUCCUAGGCCUUAAGCCCAUACCCCUUCACCUCCCCUAAAUAGGCUGCCAGAGCCCCACAGCCUACCUUAUGAGAAGCAGCCACCGGGGCAUGUUGCCCCUGCCGACAGCUCACUGUUCCCAUUCAAAGCCUCUGCUUCCUCUCUCCUCCUGCUAAAUCUGCUGUCUGUUACAUAAGCAAUUCCUCCCCUUAUGCUACAUUACACAUGAGCCCCGCCUCUUCCUUGUUGUUCAUGACUAGAGAUGCAAAUUGCUGCAGCCUAACCCCACUCUUAUCCUCAAAUCCUAUCCCCCACCCCCACCCCAGUUAUGAAUAGGCUCAUAGCCAGCACUAAAAUGUGCAGAGACCUAUUAGGGGGCCAGCGUCAAACCAGAGCUGGGAAGUAUCCAUGAUAUAGUUUCACAGGAGGGAAGAGGCCAUCCUCAGAGUAACAGCUAAAGGAUAUGUCUUGGGUUGAUGGGGAGGGACGGACACAGGUUGAACCCAUAUGCACUUAACACACCAAAAAAAAAAAAAAAAAAAAAAAUCAACUUUAAAUAUAUUUUUCUCUUUGUUUUCUUUCCAUUCUCCAGGACAUACCCCAAGGGGACCCAUGGCCAGCCCUGGCACCUAUUGCCAUCUUCCCAAGUGAACUUGGCACAGAUUGAAAAGGGGCUGAUUUCCCCCCAGAACCCUAAUACCUCUCAUACAAGGCAGUGAAAUGAGGAACAGAUCAGCUCCUCCCCUCAAGUUUCCAGCACAGAGGGAGAGCAGUUACACUUAGAAAUAUAUAUUUAUGUAUUUAUAUAUAGGUCUAUAAAAAUUUAUCACACUUGAUCAGAACUGUCCCUCCCACCCUUUCAGUUGCCCCCAAGGGAACCAGAUCCUGAUCCUGGACCCAUUCCCUGGGUCUUGCUCUCUUGAUGCCUCUGGCCCUUGGCCUGCUGAUCAGUGUGAGGUAGAACUCAGCAUUAUUAUCCACCGUAUUCUGCAGGGAACAGGCCAGCUGUUAAAAAAGCACUGCCUCUCUCCACAGUACCCCGUGGUCUCCCAACCCCCCCAAAUCCUGAUAGGUGAAGGGAGACGCCUCCCACCCCACAAGUCCCUGGGGCCUGAGCCAGAGUCAGAUCCUGUACUGCAGCCACUCUUGGAUGCUGGAUCACUUGCGCCUGCCAAAGAUGGACUUCUUGCCAGGGUUCUUGUUGCCCACACUUAAACCGAUGAGGAGCCGGGCUUUCUCCUCCUCUUCUUGCUGCUGCAUGUUGAGGUCUGAUUUAGUUUCUAGCUUUCCUCGGACCUCAGACCCUGUUGCAGGCUUCAGCCUUAGCUUCUCUUUGAUUACCUAAUAAGUUAGGAGAAGGGAAGCAUUAGUGGGAUAAGCAAAAUAAAUCAAUGUGAACCAAAUCAAUAAAGAUUUAUUAAGCUUACAUGAAGACACAAUGGGGCAAUUCAAAUUAUAAAAUUAUCUCUGCUGUUAAGAAGCUUACAGUCUAAUUAGAACCCAUUCUGAACCUGAAGUUGCAUCAGCCCUCAGUUUCCUAAAAAUCAACAGUAGUUAACAUAUAUGAAACACUCAGUAAACAUUUAAUUUAGUCAUCUGACCAAAGUCAUGGAGAGGGCAGCUCACUUCAUUCACCCGUCCAUUCCCAAGGCUGCUUGUCCUACAUAUGUCCUACAAUGAAAUGCUCCUGAGCCCAGGAUCUGUUUGCCAGCCCCUGCUAACCAAAGAGCCAUGAAUUCUGCCGGGAUACCUGGGCAACUAGGGCUUUGCGGCUGUCCCUCUUGACAGCCAUGGCAAAGUCUAGCCAUGUCCAUGUGUUGUUAUGGUACUCCAGACAGGGCAGCACCAGGUUAAGGUCACCCCAAUCCACACUGUUUUUCUCACCCUGCAAGAGAAGGAGGGGAAGAGGACAGAGAAAAGAAGAAUGAAAAGAUACAUUAGCUGCCAUUUUUAGUUCAAGCUAGUACUUGAGUCGGAAGUCUAGUACUUUCCUACAGCAGCAAUUUACAGAUACUGAUUCCCCUUACCUCAUCCUGUAAUGGUUCUGACUCCUGAAGGCAGUAGAGGGAAUAGCAGAUUAUCACCCAUAGACCAACUUCACAAACCAGAUUGUCCAUGACUAACUUUAAUCUCUGAUCUUAUCUGGCUCCCUUCCCACCCUGUUCUAGAAAGUACUAGGGAGGAACAGACCUUGUAGCUGACACACAGAGGAACCUGUGGAAUCUUUAUGUAGAUGAAGGAGUUGUUCAUGGCAGCUCGCUCUUUCAUCUUGUCAAUAUCAUCCACAGGGUGCUAGGAGAGGCAGGAAAGGAGUGUGAGUCCCUGAAACCAUCAGAAGAAACUCAGGAAAGGAGAUGUCUCCAUCUCCUUUCAUCCCUGGAAAAGACUGAAAACAUCCCCAGCUGGCCCAAACAGAGAACCUCAGGACUGUCCCAUCUCUCCAUGAUCAGGGGCAUGUCUGGUACCUCAGGUACUUUCCGAAAUGAUCUUCUGACACCAGAACUCCGGUUUAAGCCUUGUGCCACACCCUUCCCAGGGCCCAGUGGUGCUGCAUCAUCUGUAGCAAUCAGCUGCCGAGGCUUCACCACUGGUAUUCCUAUGAAAAUGCAAGCAUACCAGCUGCUAUCCUCUUUUUGAAGCUUUAGCUAUCUCUGGGGCCACUACCCCAGUCUUCUGGAGCUCCACCAUAAAAGUUCUCACCAGUAGUCACCAGUUUGGACUUAUCUUCUUCAUCACCAACCUCAUCAUCUUCCACACUUCGGCCAGGAAAGAAAAAGCCCAUUAUUCUAUGAAAGAACUGGUGUGUCAGCUGGAUGGUGAGAGGCACCACAUUUACCUAAAGAGGAAAAAGGCUGAAGAAGCAAUUAAGCUCAGAUAUCAUCCCUCAGUUUACCUACCCCUAACAUAGUAUAACAACACACAGCUUUUGAGUGCCCUUUGUUUCUGGAUCCCCAAAGGACUAUAUAUUAACCUCAAAGUGUUCCUUAACAGAAAUACCCCCAACAGGGGGCCGGACUUUGCUGAAGAGGCGGAGGGCGAGCUGUCGCCCAGACUGGCAGGAACUCUGGGGCCGCAGGACUACCUGUAGGAUAAAGAGUGAUAAAUCAACCCACAAAUCCAUGCAGACUAAAAGGAAAAGCAAUAGUCUUGCUAAGCUGGACAAACGUUCAACCUCUCAGAUCACCACACUGUUUCCCAUAUUGGAUUUAUGUGGAAGGGCCCUUACAAAUGGGCCCCUCCCUGUGUUAGGGGGCGCCUGGGUGGCUCAAUCAGCUAAGCAUCUAACUCUUGAUUUCAGCUCAUGAUCUCAGGGCUGAGAUCAAGCACCACAUUGGGCUCCAUGCUGAGCACAGAGUCCGCUUAGGAUUCUCUCUUUUCUUCUCACUCUGCCCCUCCCCUCACUCAUGCUCACUCUCUCUCUCUCUAAAAUAAAAAAUAUCUUAAAAAUGCCCUAUGUUAGGAAGCAUGAGAAUGGGAUAGGAAUGAGGAAAUAAGACUUGCCUUAUAAACUGCAUUGGGGAGGAGGUUGUUCAUAGUGAACCAGCCCAACUCCAGAAGAUGUUCUGCUGUGUCAUCAGACUUAUUCACCUAUAAAGACAGAUUUCCACACACACACAUACUAUAAAUAAGCCUUUUAUCAGGAGCUUGCUAGAGGAUUGCUACAUGUUCUGUUUUCAGGUUCUCCAUAUGUUUAAUCCCAACCUUUAGUAUCUCUUUCAAUUCCAUACAAUCAACUCACUCUUUAAUCCAGAGUUUCUCGUGGGCACUACUGGCAAGGCCACUAAAUGCCAGUAGUACUUCCCAGUCACUGUGAUAUUCAAAAAUAGUCUCACAUUGGGAUCCCUGGGUGGCGCAGCGGUUUGGCGCCUGCCUUUGGCCCAGGGCGCGAUCCUGGAGACCCGGGAUCGAAUCCCACAUCGGGCUCCCGGUGCAUGGAGCCUGCUUCUCCCUCUGCCUGUGUCUCUGCCUCUCUCUCUCUCUCUCUCUCUCUCUCUCUCUGUGACUAUCAUAAAUAAAUAAAAAGAUUAAAAAAAAAAUAGUCUCACAUAUUUCCAAACUUCCAGAGGGAAAGGGUACAGAAUAAUGAAUCAUGUUUUCUCCUCCAUGCCAUUGGUUACUUAUUGCAGGAAAGCUGAAUGUCAGUAUAGAAUUAACAAUUCUAUUCCAGGGUAGCCCGGGUGGCUCGGCGAUUUAGCGCCGCCUUCAGCCCAGGGAGUGAUCCUAGAGACCCAGGAUCUAGUCCCACGUCGGGCUCCCUGCAUGGAGUCUGCUUCUCCCUCUGCCUGUGUCUCUGCCUCUCUCUCUCUCUCUGUGUGUCUCUCAUGAAUAAAUAAAAUCUUAAAAAAAAAAAAAAAUUCUAUUCCAAGUUGGACUUGGACGAUUACUUCCCUCUGGGCCAUAUUUCUAGGGAUAAUCUUAUUCGAUGAAAGAAGCAUUUGUUCAAACUCAUCUAUAUCUGUAUUAUUUUAUAGUAUAAACAGUUGUGUCCAAGA